rnacentral:lncRNA from 1 species
UUCGUCAGAAGACUUCCAGGAAGUCCAGACGACUUCCUGGAAGUCGUCUAGCGCAUUAUAUUUUAGACGACUAACAAGUAAGUCGUCCCAGAAGUCUUCCAGAUCUGAAAAACCUGCAUAUCCAAAUCAAGAUCUGAAAAACAUGCAUAUCCAAAAACGUUCAAAUGGCUUAAAAACAGAGAAAAUGAGUGGAAGAUAAGAUAAAUCUACCUUUAUAGAACACACAAAAAUACAUAUCUAAUAUUGAUAGAUGUAUCUUUAAAUGAGUGGAAGAUGAGAAUCAUGUGAUGAAAAACCUGCAAAAACAAGAUAAAUUAGUGAGAAAGACAUGAGACAAAAACAAUAAAUUGAUAUAAAGCUUAGUGUUUAUAAGUUCAAAGAGAUAAGAUAGAGUUUGAAGAGUUUUAGAAUGUUGAACAUUACAUUUUUGUUGCAGCCAUUUGAGAGGAGGAGAGAGAAUGUGUAAAUUUUUCUUUAUAUAGGGAGACAAAAAAUCCAAUUUGGUGAAAAUAUUUUUGGUUCAGACGACUUCCUAGACGAGUUACUUGUAAGUCGCCCAGAAAACUUUAAUAUUUUUAGCGGAAAAUUAAAAUAUUUUUAGCGGGAACUAAAAUAGAAGACUGCCCACACAACUUACAUGUAAGUCG